AUUGAACGCUGGCGGCAUGCCUUACACAUGCAAGUCGAACGGCAGCACGGGAGCAAUCCUGGUGGCGAGUGGCGAACGGGUGAGUAAUACAUCGGAACGUGCCCAGUUGUGGGGGAUAGCCCGGCGAAAGCCGGAUUAAUACCGCAUACGGCCUACGGGUGAAAGCGGGGGAUCGCAGGACCUCGCGCUAUUGGCGCGGCCGAUGUCGGAUUAGCUAGUUGGUGGGGUAAAAGCCUACCAAGGCUACGAUCCGUAGCUGGUCUGAGAGGACGACCAGCCACACUGGGACUGAGACACGGCCCAGACUCCUACGGGAGGCAGCAGUGGGGAAUUUUGGACAAUGGGCGCAAGCCUGAUCCAGCCAUGCCGCGUGCGGGAAGAAGGCCUUCGGGUUGUAAACCGCUUUUGUCAGGGAAGAAACGGUUUGGGCUAAUACCCCGAACUAAUGACGGUACCUGAAGAAUAAGCACCGGCUAACUACGUGCCAGCAGCCGCCGUAACAC
rnacentral:rRNA from 1 species